GACGAACGCUGGCGGCGUGCUUAACACAUGCAAGUCGAACGAGUGGCGAACGGGUGAGUAAUACGUGGGUAACCUGCCCUCUCUAUGGGAUAAGCCUUGGAAACGGGGUGUAAUACCGACUAAAGGGGGAUGGGCUCGCGGCCUAUCAGCUUGUUGGUGGGGUGCUGGGCUACAAAGGCGGUGCCGGGUAGCCGGCCUGAGAGGGUGACCGGCGACAUGGGCACGGGGCAGAGGCCUAGCGUCGGACGGGGGGGGGAAGUGGGGGAUAUGGCAGAAUGGGCGACAGCCUGAUGCCGCGACGCCGCGUGGGGGUUGCGGGUUUUAGAGUUGUAUACCUCUUGCGGUAUCGAACGGUAGCUGGAGAAGAAGCGCCGGCUAACUACGUGCCAGCAGCCGCGGUAAUAC
rnacentral:rRNA from 1 species